AACGAACGCUGGCGGCAUGCCUAACACAUGCAAGUCGAACGAGACCUUCGGGUCUAGUGGCGCACGGGUGCGUAACGCGUGGGAACCUGCCCUUAGGUUCGGAAUAACUCCCCGAAAGGGGUGCUAAUACCGGAUAAUGUCUUCGGACCAAAGAUUUAUCGCCUUUGGAUGGGCCCGCGUUUGAUUAGCUAGUUGGUAGGGUAAAAGCCUACCAAGGCGACGAUCCAUAGCUGGUCUGAGAGGAUGAUCAGCCACACUGGGACUGAGACACGGCCCAGACUCCUACGGGAGGCAGCAGGGGGGAAUAGUGGACAAGGGGCGAAAGUCUGAUCCAGCAAUGCCGCGUGAGUGAUGAAGGCCUUAGGGUUGUAAAGCUCUCUUACCCGGGAUGAUAAUGACAGGACCGGGAGAAUAAGCUCCGGCUAACUCCGUG
rnacentral:rRNA from 1 species